GCCUGGCUGGCUCAAUCAUAGAACAUGUGACUCUUGAUCUCAAGGUUGUGAGUUCAAGUCCCACAUUGGGCA
rnacentral:tRNA from 1 species